rnacentral:lncRNA from 1 species
ACUGGGUGGGGGAGAACUCUGGGUGGAGUGCUGCUGUAGGAAUGGAGGAGACACGGGAACUUCCAGGAGGGCAGCCUGGGAAUGCAGAGUUGAUCUGACUCCUAACAGGGCAUUCUUAAUGGGGAUGGAGAGCCCGUGGGCCAGAGAAUGCUCAGGUCUUUGAGAGCAAAGGCCAUCCGGUUAUGAGGGGGUCGGGUGGAAAGAAGAGAUGGUGGCUUGACCAUCUUCCUGAGUGGGCAGCUUCCUAAAGCCACCAGGGGCCUGCACAAAGACCCCUUCCCACUUGACAAGCAGUUAGAUCUGGCAGCGUUAGAGGACCUGAGAGGCAGCAAGGGGUUUGAUGAAGGGAAGCCAACGAUGUUUGUGCCUAGAAAAUCCAAGGCUUCCCUUUAAACUACUGUGUACAACAGAGCAUGCUCACUUAGUUUCGGGUUUAUUUUAAACCAGAAAAGAUUUAGAGACCUCGGAAAGAGCUGUAAUGUUAAGGGUUUCCUGCUGUUGCUCUUUAUUCCUUAAAUUUAAAAAAAAAAAA